GAUCAUGGCUCAGGAUGAACGCUGGCGGCGUGCUUAACACAUGCAAGUCGAACGAAGCACUUUAUUUGAAUUCCUUCGGGAAUGAAGAUUCUGUGACUGAGUGGCGGACGGGUGAGUAACGCGUGGAUAACCUGCCUCAUACAGGGGGAUAACAGCCGGAAACGGCUGCUAAUACCGCAUAAGCGCACGGUACCGCAUGGUACAGUGUGAAAAACUCCGGUGGUAUGGGAUGGAUCCGCGUCUGAUUAGCCAGUUGGCGGGGUAACGGCCCACCAAAGCGACGAUCAGUAGCCGACCUGAGAGGGUGACCGGCCACAUUGGGACUGAGACACGGCCCAAACUCCUACGGGAGGCAGCAGUGGGGAAUAUUGCACAAUGGGGGAAACCCUGAUGCAGCGACGCCGCGUGAGCGAAGAAGUAUUUCGGUAUGUAAAGCUCUAUCAGCAGGGAAGAAGAAAUGACGGUACCUGACUAAGAAGCCCCGGCUAACUACGUG
rnacentral:rRNA from 1 species